GAUGAACGCUGGCGGCGUGCCUAAUACAUGCAAGUCGAACGCAUUGAGAGAAGUGCUUGCACUUUUCAAUUUGAGUGGCGAACGGGUGAGUAACACGUGGGCAACCUACCUGAUAGCGGGGGAUAACGAGUGGAAACAUUCGCUAAUACCGCAUAACAAUAGAGAAGGCAUCUUCUUUAUUUAAAAGGAGCUUUCAAGCGUCACUAUCAGAUGGGCCCGCGGUGCAUUAGUUAGUUGGUGGGGUGAAGGCCUACCAAGCGGAUGAGGCAUAGCGGGGUUGAGAGACUGAUCGGCCACAUUGGGACUGAGACACGGCCCAAACUCCUACGGGAGGCUGCAGUAGGGAAUCUUCCACAAUGGACGAAAGUCUGAUGGAGCAACGCCGCGUGUGUGAUGAAGGCUUUCGGGUCGUAAAGCACUGUUGUAUGGGAAGAAAAGCUAGGCUAGGAAAUGAGCUUAGUUUGACGGUACCAUACCAGAAAGGGACGGCUAAAUACGUGCCAGCCGCCGCCGUAA
rnacentral:rRNA from 1 species